GAUGAACGCUGGCGGCGUGCUUAACACAUGCAAGUCGAACGGUGAAGCAGGAGCUUGCUCUUGUGGAUCAGUGGCGAACGGGUGAGUAACACGUGAGCAACCUGCCCCUGACUCUGGGAUAAGCGCUGGAAACGGCGUCUAAUACUGGAUAUGUGAUGUGACCGCAUGGUCUGCAUCUGGAAAGAAUUUCGGUUGGGGAUGGGCUCGCGGCCUAUCAGCUUGUUGGUGAGGUAAUGGCUCACCCAGGCGUCGACGGGUAGCCGGCCUGAGAGGGUGACCGGCCACACUGGGACUGAGACACGGCUCAGACUCCUACGGGAGGCAGCAGUGGGGAAUAUUGCACAAUGGGCGGAAGCCUGAUGCAGCAACGCCGGGUGAGGGAUGACGGCCUUCGGGUUGUAAACCUCUUUUAGCAGGGAAGAAGCGAAAGUGACGGUACCUGCAGAAAAAGCACCGGCUAACUACGUGCCAGCCGCCGCGGUAA
rnacentral:rRNA from 1 species